UCGGCCUUGUCGUCUGCGGCAUGUUACAGACGAUCUAUCAAUACUAUCGGGAAGUCAUUGUCCGAUGGCUUGGUUGAGUUCAAGUUAAGGUCGAUUGUUACACGAAAUAAUCACAACCUUGGCAGUAAGCUGUGGAUCAACUGGGGUUUUAAAAAUAAGAGUGCUUUGAUUUCAAGGUUGCUUUAUUUUGACAGUCGUGGCUGGCCUUCAACUUGACAAAGACUUGUUAAAAACAUACAAUAUCAAUCGAAUUUGCAAACAUUUAAAGGGAACGUAGGGUCAAAAAUCAAAUUUUGAUAUGUGAAAACUGGUACCAUGCAGACAACAAAAUCAAGCAUAGAAAAAAUAAUUGCUGUUGAUAACAAGAUUUAAUCUGUCAUUUACACUGAAAACUGAGCUGAAUGGGAGAAUCUCUUAUCAUGGCGGCUGAUGACGUGUAUGCGGCAAUUCAUUACAACUGCUGUGCCUAUAGCACUAAAUGGGUUACAGAGUAUCUAUAAUUUAAAUGUCAGAAGUUCAAUCGAAAUUUUGCACUUUGGUCAAAGGAAAAGGAAUACAUGUAUCUACCUUUUAGCAUCCCUGAUCUCCCCAAAAACUAUUAACAUUGUGGAAGAAUUCUGAUACAUAACCUUGGGAAUGAAUAUUUUGUUUUGAACGGCAUUUUGAGAAAGAUUCUUUGAAAGAGGAUAUCAGGCUAAUCCAUUUUCUUUUGGAAACCAAUGAAAAACUCAUAUGCAGAACCUAUUGACCAACCUGGACUAUCAGCAUCUAAGAAAACAGCUCAAUGAAGACAUGAAUAGUGACAAAAAUAUCCCACUCUCAAUCCAUAUUGAAGAAUAAAUCAACUUUGUGCAACAUAUACAGAUAGAAUUGCCCAGUCAUUGUCCAUCAUAUGUGCUAAGGAAUGUUCAAGUGAAGAAUGAAGAAGUGAUUAGAUAAUGAACUGUAUAAAGAAUACAAAAUUAAAAGUUUAAGAAU